CCCGCUGAACUUAAGCAUAUCACUAAGCGGAGGAAAAGAAAUUAACUAAGAUUGCCUCAGUAACGGCGAGUGAAGCGGCAAAAGCCCAAACUGGAAAUCUUCACCCUUCGGGUGACGAAUUGUAAUCUAGAGGGUGGUAGCUCACCUAGCAGUGGCGCAGAAGUGCCUUAGAACGGGCCGCCAGAGAGGGUGACAGCCCCGUAUGUGGUGCCAUUGCUUAACGAGCUCCAUUCUAAGAGUCGGGUUGUUUUGAAUUGCAGCCCUAAUCUGGGAGAUAGACUUCUUCUAAGGCUAAAUAUAUAUGGGAAACCGAUAGCGAACAAGUACUGUGAAGGAAAGAUGAAAAGAACUUUGAAAAGAGAGUCAAAAGACUUGAAAUCGUUGAGAAGGAAGCGGUAGAAAUUUAUUCUUCUGCUGAGAAUGAUGGUGUUCGGCUCGCGUAUCAGGAUUUGCCAGCACUUCAAAGGCUGCUUGUUUUGCGUGCGUGACUGAUAGCUGGAUUCUUAGUAGUGAGUCAAAAUGGGGCUUCGCUCCUACAAAAGCUUGGCCAACUUGGGAGGCUUCGGUCUUCAGUUUACCUUUGCUAGUAGGCGCGGUGCCCGAGGAUGCUUUGUGCGAUUUUGACAAAAUGGUUUUUACCGACCCGUCUUGAAACACGG
rnacentral:rRNA from 1 species